UAGCUCAAGGAGUAGAGCGCAUGUUUAGUACGCAUGAGGCCCUGGGUUCAAUCCCCAG
rnacentral:tRNA from 1 species